rnacentral:rRNA from 1 species
UGGGGGAUAUUGCACAAUGGGCGCAAGCCUGAUGCAGCGACGCCGCGUGGGGGAUGAAGGCCUUCGGGUUGUAAACUUCUUUUGCUCUGAACAAGGCGCACUUUGGGGUGUGUUGAGUGUAGGGGUUGAUUAGCGCCGGCUAACUACGUGCCAGCAGCUGCGGUAAUACGUAGGGCGCGAGCGUUGUCCGGAAUUAUUGGGCGUAAAGGGCUUGUAGGUGGCUGGUUGCGUCUGUCGUGAAAGCUCAUGGCUUAACUGUGGGUUUGCGGUGGGUACGGGCUGGCUUGAGUGCAGUAGGGGAGGCUGGAAUUCCUGGUGUAGCGGUGGAAUGCGCAGAUAUCAGGAGGAAUACCGGUGGCGAAGGCGGGUCUCUGGGCUGUUACUGACACUGAGGAGCGAAAGCAUGGGGAGCGAACAGG